CGGGCUGUAGCGCAGUGGUAGCGCGCGUCGUUCGGGUCGACGAGGUCGUGGGUUCAAAUCCCGCCAGCCCGACCA
rnacentral:tRNA from 1 species